rnacentral:lncRNA from 1 species
GGCAACAUUUGAAUGAUAUAGGGGGAGACUUCACUCUUAUAUAUGAAAAGCUGAAAUUCAGCAAGUUAAGCCCUUUCAAAAACUGAUUUUAAGAUAAGUAUCAAUAGGCUCAUACUCUUUAUUUUGUAAUCAUCAAAAAGGGGGAGAUUGAGGAUGAUAGUGUUAUUUUGAUGAUUAACAAGCAAUUAUCUAGAGUAUGUUAUAAGUUAAAUCGAUACUUCAUUUAUAAGUUUAUUACUCUCAGUAUAUUUUGUAUUAAUUGAUAUAGAUACAUCUCAUUGUUCAUUUGAAUGAAUCUAACCUUGAGAUGCAGCAAAGUGUGGAUUGAGUCGACCCAAAGGAUAAAUUGGGUCGACCCCGGCAUAUCAAGAAAAUAUUUGGCAUACCUCUGCAAAUAUGGCACAAAUGAACAGUGAGUUGGGUCGACCCAAGGAAAGCAUGAGUCGACCCAAACAUCAAGAUCCUCAAACAGAAGACAGAAAAUGGUUCUCUGGAUUUACUGAGAGGGUCGACCCAAGAUAUAGUUGAGUCGACCCAAGCUUGAGU